UACGGGGGGGGGCAAGCGUUGUUCGGAAUUACUGGGCGUAAAGGGCUCGUAGGUGGCCAACUAAGUCAGACGUGAAAUCCCUCGGCUUAACCGGGGAACUGCGUCUGAUACUGGAUGGCUUGAGUUUGGGAGAGGGACGCGGAAUUCCAGGUGUAGCGGUGAAAUGCGUAGAUAUCUGGAGGAACACCGGUGGCGAAGGCGGCGUCCUGGACCAACACUGACACUGAGGAGCGAAAGCCAGGGGAGCAAACGGGG
rnacentral:rRNA from 1 species